rnacentral:rRNA from 1 species
UGCCACUGCCAUAUCAACCUGCAGCCCCAAGACCAGUUACUAACUGAAGCUUAGCAGGGCUGAGCAUGGCUGUACCUGGAUGGGAGACCACAAGGUACAACUAGGUUGCUAUUGGAA